AUGAUCUCCCAGACUCAGUUUCUCUGGCUCCUUGUGCUCUGCAUUCAGGACUCCAGUGGGCAGAUGGUGCUGACUCAGACUCCAGAAUCCCUGGCAGUGUUUCCUGGAGACACAGUCACUAUCCGCUGCAAAGCCAGUUCCAGUGUUGGCAGAUGGAUGUCCUGGUGCCAACAGAAAUUAGGUCAAGUGCCUAAACUCCUCAUCCACACCGCCUCCACCCGUCUCUCUGGGGUUCCAGACCGGUUCAGCGGUAGUGGGUCUGGCACCGACUUCACAUUCACCAUCCGCAGGGUUGAAGCAGAUGAUGCUGGAGAUUAUUACUGUCAGAAUCAUAACAACUCCCCUUGCACACAGUGA